rnacentral:lncRNA from 1 species
CUGCAAUCAAUUGGAUUAUGCGUUUAUCUUUGCGAAUCGGUAGAGGUGCUGUCCAGGAAUUUUGUGAGUGGGUGAACAGCAGUAGUUAUAGGGAUUUAUGGGAAUUUUCGUGGGUUAAUUAGUGGGAAUCAGUGGAAUAAUCAUGUAGAGCUUUGUCAUACCUUUCCAACGAGUACUUAUGCGCUCGAUUCGGAGUUAUAAUUUAGGAGAUAUCAUUGUUUGAAUCCGGAUAUGUUGCUGUCCAAAAAAAAACAGAUUUUUCAGGUGGGUGAACAGCAGUAGUAUUAGCAGUUUCUGGGAAUUUGUUGUAUGUAAUUAUUGAUGACCAGUAUGAUAAUCAUGUAGGGCUUUGUCUUAUCUUUCCAAUGAGUACUUAUGCGCUUGAUUUGGAAUUAUAUUUUAAAAGAUAUCGCUGUUUGAAUCCGGGUAUGUCGCUGUCCAAAAGAGAAAAAAACAGAUUACAGGGUUUAUCUUGUGGACUGUUUUGGGCUAAUUAGAUGUUGGAAUUUUGUCACCACUGCUGUCAUAAUUUUAAAGUUAUGAAAUUAUUAAGCAGCGCCGCUGCAGUUUGGUGGGUGCGGGGAGAAUUGUUACCCGUGGCGGGGUUUGAGAUUGUGCGUAGGUGCGGCGUCGUUUAUGAGCCUUAUUAUGUGAAAUUGGUGCACUAAGUUGUGUGUCAAAAACAGGUGGUGGACUUCCGGAUCGUACUUAGGGAUUUGCCCAAACUUCCGGUGAAGUCAAGUAAAACAGUGAUGGUUAUUUCGUCUGUCCAAUGAAGAGUCUUAUACUUGAUUAUGUUUGUGUUAUUUGUGUUCGUAUUCAUAUUUCUAAUUGAGUAUCAUCGUUGGAAGAUAUUAAUGUUUUAUUGAUUACAUAUGUUGAGUUUGUGGGUUGAUCAUGUUACCCAUGUAGUCUAUUUAGUGGAAUGGUGUCACACCCGGAUUUUAGGGGUCCAAAACCCGGGCGCAAACAUAAUCACCAGGUGUGCUGGGACCAAGUCUCACACAUAUGAUGAAUCAUGGCACAGGAUCGAAUGUCACAUCUUUACUAUAUAAUAGGAGUUUUGUACAAAAUAAAUAAAUAAUUACAUUAUAAGGAGACAACGGUCCAGCAACCCAAAGUUGACUGGGAGACGACGGCCUAGACCUCUCACGAACACAUCGCAGCAUCCUCCAUGUGUCAUCCUACGGUACCUGUUCUUGACCUGUGGGGGGGGUGUGAGACAGCAAGAGUGAGCUCACAUACGUUCAUCGCUCAACAAGUUGUGGGGAAUAAAGUGCAUGAACUCGCCAAAGGUGGGAGCUCACGUGAAGUGUAAGGCUUACCAAAGAGGAUGGUUAGAGCUGAGCAUUGCUUUUAAAGUUGGUCAAAAUUUUAUUAGCAGUUACUAAGUAUAAGUAAAUACCAACCCAAUUAAGUAGUAGAGCAAAAGUAACAUCAUCACCUGCGAUGCAAUGCAUAUGACAAAUUGAAUUUAGUUCCAUAAAUUAAUCAUCAGAGAGUCCUGAGCUGCUCAUGACCGUGAGCUCGGCUAGUAUACCAGUUUUACACUCUGCAGAGGUGGUACCCUUUACCCACAAGUCAUGUUACCCGUCUGCCAAGGGAUCGCGACUUCCCAUACACCUCUACCGAGGAGGCGAGGCAGGGUAACACUACGAGGCCUUUACAAAGUUCCACUAGCUUCAGAAAACCCGCUACAGUUUAUAGGAAGCUCCAAUGCAGGAAUCCCUUGCAGGACCGCCAUCGCAGCAAAAUCCUCCCGAGGGCCUCCCUACACUGACCACUCCCCUACUGCCCUUGCCCCUUUCGGGUAAGGUAGUCCUCCACUAGCUUUCCUAAUUAAUCAGCCAAGGGCGUCCAUAAACCCUUGUGGUGGCACGUGUUUCUCAAGUUAAGCUCUAUGUUCCAAUUAACAUUUAAUGAUCUUGUCAUGAACAUAAAUAGAAUAACAACAUAAUUGGAACAUAGAUGUAAUGAAAUAUUAACCCAAAACCAUAUAAAGCAGUAGCAGAACUACCCAAGUGAUUCAGGGGUAAACAAGGUAUUCAGGAUGAACAAACUAGGGUGACCUAUUGGGUCCCAUCAAAAUUAACCUAUGCAGAUCAUUAUGAUUAAUCAGAACAUGAGUAGGUAAAAAGAAGUGAUCAAGGGCACAACUUGCCUGACACUUGAGAUUCCAGGUACCAACUUGCUCUUCGGAUGACACGUGUCCUCGCGCUAGUCGUAGCAAUACAAACAAAUAUGGUAUAGAUAAAACUAACAUCACACCAAGCAUAAGUACAAACUGAAUAAUAAUGAUCUACGCGUUUCUACGAGACUAACGCAACUUGAACGGAUCAAAUCAGAGUUAAAACGGGGAAGAUACGAAUUUCCUAAUGUUUUAUGUAUUUGAUAUGGAUUUAAUUAGGAAAUAAAUUUUAAGGUGGCUUUCGUGUCAAAUUAGUGGCACUAUUAGAUAAACAAUAAUAUUAUAAAAUUAUAGGAACUGGAAUGACUCAAUUUGGAAUUAGUAUGAAUUUUCUACGGAUUAAACAAAUUCUAGCCAUUAUUUUUAUAUUAAAAAUCCAUUUUCUAUUUAUUUCCCUGGAUUUUCUAUUUACUGGACUGGGCCUCAAUUACUGGUAAGUUCAGGGGCUAACCCGCAAGAUCUCCAAGACACAGCGCCAUCCGCGCUGGACCGCGGGUUGAAUCUCAAUAAACCCAGGGCCCAUAUGCAAAACAGACCCGACGAAGGGGUAUCAGCCAGAUCUGGCCGUCCGAUCCCCAACAGACGGUGCAGAUUAGAUUUGAAUUUUUCAGAAAGGGUAUGAAAUAUAAGGCCUUGGAUCCAGAUCUAACGGUCUGAGUUUUAUGAAAUCUAAUCCAGAUCCGAACCGCACGAUUGCGAUCCAACCGCCCGAAUUCCGCGGGGUGAAGGUGUACGCAGAAUUUAAUCCACUCCCUCCGUUUAGAAUCCUACGGCCCCGGCUUCUAUAACAUGUCUUCUAAUCCUAACCAGUCAUCGCGAGAUCAAGGGCUCUGCGUUCGUCUUCUUCCUUUCGUCAACCCGGCAGUAGUUGCAAGUGCCAGGAAACCCAGCAUGGUGAACGGUGAGCUAGCUACUCGUCGGUACGGGUCGACGUGCGAAUAUAACUCACGUACUGAGAAAGUAAUGGUGGUUUGCAGGGGAGUUAUCAUACCGUGUUUCACGGCGCAAGUACAGUCGUCUAGAAGUCUGCAGCACGACGGCGAUCCUUCAAUGUCGACAACGAAGCACUCGCACAAUCUUCAACGCUCGGCGAAGAGGCCCGGUCCGCUCCUCAUCGCACGCACAGGAAGUACCUGGACGUCCAGUGCGUGACUUGUCGAACACCCUCUCGGCAACAACACUCACGUUCUCUCUCUUCAUCCUUUGUUUCUCUCGGCGGCUGUGAAUAUGACGGCGCACGCCCGGUGCUUUUCUCCAGGGCGACCGAGACGGCAACUGCCAGGACCAAGAGAUUUAUGGGGGCGCGCAGGGCGGUAGCGCCGGAAAUCCGGUUCUCCGUUUUGGUCGGCGCCCACAUCCCGGAAAUACGCGUAUGCGUAUUCGCAGUGGCCCAGCCGUCAGGGACAGUGAAAGGUAUACGGAUGAGGUCACCUGUGACGCCCGGCCGACGUCACCCACGCAGGAAACUAUUCUUUAUUCGGCUGGAGCGGUCCUCGGCGGGAGAAUAGCUGCAGGAGGAAGCCACCUGGGCCGGCUGUUACGGGGAGGUGGUUACGGCAUGCAUGGAUUUGUUACGGGGAGGAAGACGCGGUUGACAUCAGAGCCUAUAAACUAGUUACCCGCGCAGAGCUUCGUACGUGAUUCUAUCGUCCACAUGUCGGUGACUACGUAGAAGUAGACGUGUGCAUGGAAAUACGGCUGCAUGUGUUGCUUGCUUGAUGUCACACUUGUGUCAUGCUGACCUCAUGUGCGGCAAGAGGAUUAAAUAAAAGAAAAGAAGAGAUGUGGGCUACGGAAUACCUUGGGCUGGGUGGGAGGUGAUCUGGCCCAAGCGCAGGAUUGCUCCUCUUUUUUUUCUAUUUUAAAUUUCUUGUUUUAGUUUCCUUCACAUUUUCAGAUUCCUAUUUCAAAUUCAAAAUUGAUUCAACUUCAAUUUUGCCAGUACAAAAGCUAAUACUAAUGUGACCUCUACCAUUUUCAGUAUUAUUAUUUAUUUUUUUCCUUGUUGUUUAUUUAGGGAAGGAAUAAAUAGCUUCAUUAAAUUCCCCUUUCUUAUUUUAUAUUUAUAUCUUCGUUUAUACUUUGAGGUCAAAAUUAUGUGUUUAAUAAAGUACCUCCCACAAAGUCAUCAGUAAGAGAUGCACUUUUCAUUAUUUAUUUAUUGGUUGCUUAAUUAAUUUAGUACCAUUAAUUGAUUAUGAGAAGAAAAUAUCCAAAUGUAUUUUCCAAGGGAUUCAACAAUUCUCAAAACACUAUGAUAAAUAUAUUUGUUUAUUUAUUUAUUUAUUUAUUUUAUACCCAAUUUUAGGGCCUUACAAAUCCUACCACCUUAAAAAUAAUCUCGUCCUCGAGAUUUGUACGGACAUGGAUGUAAAAGAAAACUUUUUUAUAGUUUAGCUUUUAACUUCUAAGAAGUGUCAUGUUAUUUAGAAAGUGGUUAUGAAAGCAUGGGUAUAUAUAUGUAUGGUCACCUUAUUGUGUAGGAUGAAAGAUAGGUUAGGGCAAGCAUAGCCUAGGGUGAGAAGGUUUAUAGUGGGAAAGAAUUCUGUGUUGAGUGGUAAAGCAUUAGAAGAUUGAGUUUGACUUCUCUCCUUCCUUGACGAGGUUGAUCUUUUCUUCUCCAGUCUUGGUCUCCUUGAUUCGAGGUUAGUGUAUAUCAUCGGAGUUGGGGCAUAUGGUCGAAGUAGUUAUGGGUGAGAUGGACUACAUGUUGUAGGUCAAAAUCUUGUUUGAUGUUUGGUAGGCACAGAUAGAUUAUGCAAUCCAUCAUGACUCUAUUGGUUGGGUUAGAUCUAUUAGGAUGACAUAAAAUCUUUUCAAGAUAAGAUGAAUCCUCUAAGGUAAUAGAGUAUAUUUUUAAGAUAAGAUGGAUCUAUUAAGCUUACUAUAUUUUAGUGGGGGAUAAUCUAAGUUGCCUAGUUUUUGUAUCAACAUUUUUUUAUUUACUAUAUGUAUAUAUAGAUGUAAUUGUGGACAUUACUCCACAACUCAUCGCACUCAAUCAAAGAUCCAAAUCAGACAAGCAUCAUAAGAACAAACAUUCAAGUUCAUAGAUAUCUAUAUAACAGAAAAUAAUUUUGUUUUUGUUCCUAAGAGUAGGUCACCUAUUCCUAAAGUCACUUUAAGAACAGGAUUUCAAAGUGUGAAACCCACAUUUGUCUUUAGAAUGAAAAGGUAAGAAUAAUCAGAGUGAAGCGGAAUUAGAUGAGAAAAGAUUAAGAUGAGUUUAGAAAGAGUCAGAGUAGCAGAGGUAAGGUUAAUCAGAGUAGAACAGUAGAAGGUGAAACAGGAUCAAGAUAAGUAUAGAAAGAAUCAGAGUAAGGUAAGUAGACAAUGGUUGUCCAUUUCUAUCUAGGUUUCGUCCUACAGUCAACAUUCCUCUGAUACCACUUCUGUCACACCCGGAUUUUAGGGGUCCAAAACCCGGGCGCGAACAUAAUCACCAGGUGUGCUGGGACCAAGUCUCACACAUAUGAUGAAUCAUGGCACAGGAUCGAAUGUCACAUCUUUACUAUAUAAUAGGAGUUUUGUACAAAAUAAAUAAAUAAUUACAUUAUAAGGAGACAACGGUCCAGCAACCCAAAGUUGACUGGGAGACGACGGCCUAGACCUCUCACGAACACAUCGCAGCAUCCUCCAUGUGUCAUCCUACGGUACCUGUUCUUGACCUGUGGGGGGGGUGUGAGACAGCAAGAGUGAGCUCACAUACGUUCAUCGCUCAACAAGUUGUGGGGAAUAAAGUGCAUGAACUCGCCAAAGGUGGGAGCUCACGUGAAGUGUAAGGCUUACCAAAGAGGAUGGUUAGAGCUGAGCAUUGCUUUUAAAGUUGGUCAAAAUUUUAUUAGCAGUUACUAAGUAUAAGUAAAUACCAACCCAAUUAAGUAGUAGAGCAAAAGUAACAUCAUCACCUGCGAUGCAAUGCAUAUGACAAAUUGAAUUUAGUUCCAUAAAUUAAUCAUCAGAGAGUCCUGAGCUGCUCAUGACCGUGAGCUCGGCUAGUAUACCAGUUUUACACUCUGCAGAGGUGGUACCCUUUACCCACAAGUCAUGUUACCCGUCUGCCAAGGGAUCGCGACUUCCCAUACACCUCUACCGAGGAGGCGAGGCAGGGUAACACUACGAGGCCUUUACAAAGUUCCACUAGCUUCAGAAAACCCGCUACAGUUUAUAGGAAGCUCCAAUGCAGGAAUCCCUUGCAGGACCGCCAUCGCAGCAAAAUCCUCCCGAGGGCCUCCCUACACUGACCACUCCCCUACUGCCCUUGCCCCUUUCGGGUAAGGUAGUCCUCCACUAGCUUUCCUAAUUAAUCAGCCAAGGGCGUCCAUAAACCCUUGUGGUGGCACGUGUUUCUCAAGUUAAGCUCUAUGUUCCAAUUAACAUUUAAUGAUCUUGUCAUGAACAUAAAUAGAAUAACAACAUAAUUGGAACAUAGAUGUAAUGAAAUAUUAACCCAAAACCAUAUAAAGCAGUAGCAGAACUACCCAAGUGAUUCAGGGGUAAACAAGGUAUUCAGGAUGAACAAACUAGGGUGACCUAUUGGGUCCCAUCAAAAUUAACCUAUGCAGAUCAUUAUGAUUAAUCAGAACAUGAGUAGGUAAAAAGAAGUGAUCAAGGGCACAACUUGCCUGACACUUGAGAUUCCAGGUACCAACUUGCUCUUCGGAUGACACGUGUCCUCGCGCUAGUCGUAGCAAUACAAACAAAUAUGGUAUAGAUAAAACUAACAUCACACCAAGCAUAAGUACAAACUGAAUAAUAAUGAUCUACGCGUUUCUACGAGACUAACGCAACUUGAACGGAUCAAAUCAGAGUUAAAACGGGGAAGAUACGAAUUUCCUAAUGUUUUAUGUAUUUGAUAUGGAUUUAAUUAGGAAAUAAAUUUUAAGGUGGCUUUCGUGUCAAAUUAGUGGCACUAUUAGAUAAACAAUAAUAUUAUAAAAUUAUAGGAACUGGAAUGACUCAAUUUGGAAUUAGUAUGAAUUUUCUACGGAUUAAACAAAUUCUAGCCAUUAUUUUUAUAUUAAAAAUCCAUUUUCUAUUUAUUUCCCUGGAUUUUCUAUUUACUGGACUGGGCCUCAAUUACUGGUAAGUUCAGGGGCUAACCCGCAAGAUCUCCAAGACACAGCGCCAUCCGCGCUGGACCGCGGGUUGAAUCUCAAUAAACCCAGGGCCCAUAUGCAAAACAGACCCGACGAAGGGGUAUCAGCCAGAUCUGGCCGUCCGAUCCCCAACAGACGGUGCAGAUUAGAUUUGAAUUUUUCAGAAAGGGUAUGAAAUAUAAGGCCUUGGAUCCAGAUCUAACGGUCUGAGUUUUAUGAAAUCUAAUCCAGAUCCGAACCGCACGAUUGCGAUCCAACCGCCCGAAUUCCGCGGGGUGAAGGUGUACGCAGAAUUUAAUCCACUCCCUCCGUUUAGAAUCCUACGGCCCCGGCUUCUAUAACAUGUCUUCUAAUCCUAACCAGUCAUCGCGAGAUCAAGGGCUCUGCGUUCGUCUUCUUCCUUUCGUCAACCCGGCAGUAGUUGCAAGUGCCAGGAAACCCAGCAUGGUGAACGGUGAGCUAGCUACUCGUCGGUACGGGUCGACGUGCGAAUAUAACUCACGUACUGAGAAAGUAAUGGUGGUUUGCAGGGGAGUUAUCAUACCGUGUUUCACGGCGCAAGUACAGUCGUCUAGAAGUCUGCAGCAUGACGGCGAUCCUUCAAUGUCGACAACGAAGCACUCGCACAAUCUUCAACGCUCGGCGAAGAGGCCCGGUCCGCUCCUCAUCGCACGCACAGGAAGUACCUGGACAUCCAGUGCGUGACUUGUCGAACACCCUCUCGGCAACAACACUCACGUUCUCUCUCUUCAUCCUUUGUUUCUCUCGGCGGCUGUGAAUAUGACGGCGCACGCCCGGUGCUUUUCUCCAGGGCGACC